rnacentral:tRNA from 1 species
GUAGACAUAAUUUAACCAAAAUAUUAGAUUGUGAUUCUGAAAAUAGAGGUGAAAGCCCUCUUGUCCACC